AAGAUUUUAAAAGUCGAACAGACUUAAAAUAAUUAAUAUCUUCAUUAACUUUAAUCUUAAUUCAACAUCGAGGUCGCAAUCAAUUUUAUCAAUAUGAACUCUUCAAAAUUAUUACG
rnacentral:rRNA from 2 species